UACAGAGGUCUCAAGCGUUGUUCGGAUUCAUUGGGCGUAAAGGGUGCGUAGGCGGCGCGGUAAGUCGGGUGUGAAAUCUUGGAGCUUAACUCCGAAACUGCAUUCGAUACUGCCGUGCUUGAGGACUGGAGAGGAGACUGGAAUUUACGGUGUAGCGGUGAAAUGCGUAGAUAUCGUAAGGAAGACCAGUGGCGAAGGCGGGUCUCUGGGCCGAAAUUGACGCUGAGGAGCGAAAGCGUGGGGAGCGAACAGG
rnacentral:rRNA from 1 species